CCUACGGGUGACUGCAGUAGGGAAUAUUGCUCAAUGGGGGAAACCCUGACGCAGCAACGCCGCGUGGGGGAUGAAGGUUUUCGGAUUGUAAACUCCUUUUGUUAGAGAAGAUAAUGACGGUAUCUAACGAAUCAGCACCGGCUAACUCCGUACCAGCAGCCGCGGGAAAACGGAGGGUGCAAGCGUUACUCGGAAUAACUGGGGGAAAAGGGCGCGUAGGCGGGAUAGCAAGUCUGAUGUGAAAGCCUAUGGCUUAACCAGAGAACGGCAUUUGAAACUGUUAGUCUAGAGUAUGGGAGAGGUAGGUGGAAUUCUUGGUGUAGGGGUAAAAUCCGUAGAGAUCAAGAGGAAUACUCAUGGCGAAGGCGACCUGCUAGAACAUAACUGACGCUGAUGCGCGAAAGCGUGGGGAGCAAACAGGAUUAGAUACCCGAGUAGUC
rnacentral:rRNA from 1 species